GUAACAAAUUGUAGACAGAGAAGUAGUGGGAUUUUUCCAUUUCAGGUUAAAACCAGAUAUGGAUCAGAGCCUUGCAUAUCCUGUGUUGCAUUAUGUCGUGAGCAAACAGAGUGCUGGCUGUGGGCCAGGAAGUAAUUUUCCAGCCAUUUUUCCAGCUGCAGACUGGAGUGCCUUGAAUGUAGUCUUUAUACUCCUCUAACAUCAAGCCCUGAAACAAAGACUAUGUGUGCUCUACAAAGACGUUUUGUUAUAACUACGUGGAUUGUGUUUACAGUUGGGAUUACAGUACAUGGGAAUCAAGACACAAAAAUAUAAAUGAGAAAACCUCUUUCUGAUGAUAUUGAAUAACAUAACCCCUGUAGAAAAUGCCAUAUACUUACACAGUCAUCAUGUGGCUUACUGGGAAUGUUGAAGGUAUUAGUCUCAUAAGGGUCCCAGCACAUCUGCAGUUAUACCCAUGAGUCUGUUUCAAUAUGGUACAAAGUGUUAUGCAUGUUUAGAGCCACAUUAAUUUUAGAGUUGCCAUAGAAAUUGCUGGCAUCUCAAUAUUUAAUUUCACUUAAUUUUACAACAGGCCAAAAUCCAGAUUUCAAAACCUUCCUUUGAAUGGAAAUUCUAAAAUUCUUAGGAAAAAAUAUUGUUUCUAAAAAAAAAAAUCUGGAGUUCAUUGAAAUGUUUUGUUUUGCUUAUUCAAAGCAUCACAAUGGUUUGUGUUGAUUCAUUUUGACACUGAACUGCAGAUCACGGCUCUGCAUUGUCUUGACGGAGCUGUAGUAUUAAAUCUCAUUCAUUCUGUGAGCAGGGUCUCUGGCUUGACUCCAUCUUCUGUAAUGGUCUCUGAAUCACAGGCCUUCCAAGAUAAAUCCUACAGUUUUGUUCAGAAAGACAUUAUAUGCAUUACAGGAAAGGGAUAAUUUCAGCAAAAAUGCAAGAGGAAGGAAGUCCACAGCUAUAGACACAGAAAGCAUAAAACAUUAGGCAACGGUCACUAUGUAUUUGCUUAUUCAUGUCAACUCAAAAACUACCCCAAAACCCAAACAAACCUUCAGAGUUAUUCAGGCCACAAACACUUUCUGACUUGUAUCCAACCACCCAAAAUUAAAGUAUUUCAGUUUCAUUUUUAUGAACCUUUUUUUUUUUAAUUAAAAUUCUACCACAUAGGGCUCUUUAAAAAGCAUCCAAUACAAAAAGUCAAGUGACAACAGAGACUUACAGGCAUUACUUCUGUCUAGGACUUCUGACAUGAAAAUGGAUGAAAUGCUUUUAAAUGCAGGAGUGCAAACUUGAGUGCUGGAUAAGCAUUCUCCUCUUCUCCUGCCUCUCCCUACACUGCCUUUGGUGAUCCUUUUCUGCUGCUCAUCAGCUGGAGGCUGCUGUCUGCCAUGGUGGAGUGGUGCCCUGGCCCAUGUCAGUCCAAGUGACUUCAAGUCCUAUUAUUUAAAGUAUUUAGAUAAUUUGAUACUUUUAAGCGAAAUAAGUGAGAGAGCUUUUGACGGCAGCGGAGCUGGCAGAUGGGAUGGUUGGUGGAUUGCAUGGAGAGGCAAUGGUAAGGAAUGGGGUUUGAAACUUCUUCCACUGACACGGGUGCCACUGAGGGGAAAACGCUUGUUGCCAUAUUUUACUGAAGUGCAAGGUGAGUUUCUGCUGAAUUGGUCCACAGUUUUUAAAAGGUCUGUUUUUCUGUCUUAUCACUAGGUACUCCAAAAUAAAUAGGAUUUUUUGAACAAAAUGCGUACUCACACUGCAAAAAAGAACCAGUGAGUUGAUGUUGACACAUAAUGACCUUCUGCAGUGACUGGGGAUGCCCAACAUCAUGAAAGUGAGCACAGAGAGAUUGGAAAUGGCAUCACAUCUGUACUGUGAUCCAAUUGUGUGUUGCAAUUGCUAUAUUGUGCUUGUAUUCUGAUUUCAGCACAUUGCUGUAUCACUGUUAAAUCAAAAUCCUGUGUAACAACAAAUCUCUUCAGAUAUGUAAAUGUUGUAUUAAACAUUAAACCCUCUUUGUGCAGAAUAUGGAAAAGAACCUGGUCAGAGAAUAUUGCAAUCUGACACUGCUGCUGGGUUCUCCUCGUUAUUUUUCACUGCUAAAUCAAACUUGCAAAAACUGAAAAGCUCAUUUUCUCUUUUCCCAAUAUUAUGUUCUCAAGAAAGCUACUGAAGUAGUCAGAAAAAUGUUUGCAAUGAGAAAUGGAAGUGUGCGCUAUACCAACUCUGCAUGAAGAUGUGAUCCACUCUAGGAGAAGUUCUAAAAUUAUGAUUAUUUCAGCUACUCUAUUACCCUGCCUGAGACUGCAUUACGGUUGCAUCUUUGAGAGGAAACAGAAUCUUCCUCAAUGAUCAUCCAGCUUCUUCCUGGAGUGAAAGCUGACCUACUGGGGGAAGGAUGGAAUGGAGGGGCAGCAGUGGGAUAGGAGCUCUUCUUCACCUAAUUGCUGUUGACAUGUCCAUCCACAUGAGAACUGAUGUAACCUUUGUUUGUCUGUGAAAUUUUUAUGGCUAUACUAAUGAACAUAAAUGAUUGCAUAUUUUUUAAAUCCUGGCAUUUUUUUUUUUGCACCAGUAACUUCCUGAAUCAAUUGUUUCUUCUUCACUCCUGUUCUAUGAUAAGCUUUUGGAGUAAGGAUAUGAAAAGAUCAAGUACUGAUUUUUGUGAGUUCUUAUGAUGCGGUGUUGGGAAAGUAAAUGGUACGUCAUACUUUAAUCAUUAAUUAUUAAAUAUUAACAUGCUUUUCUUUUAAUUGCUUUCUUGGUCACUGCGUAUCUCGUUGAAUGUAUUUGAAAUAUAUUUUCAGAUA
ensembl:lncRNA